rnacentral:lncRNA from 1 species
GAGGGUAAAAUUGAGUAUUAACAGCUGGCCCCUCUUUACCCGGAAAUGAUGAAAGAAUUGUCGGGUAAAGAAAAUGAUGAUCAAUUUUGUCCGAAUGAACGAGGAUGGGGGUAUGAGGUACUUAAAAUAUGGGGGCCGAACCCUGGGUCUUGAGUUGCCUACGUGUCCCCGAUUUUACGGGUAUCAGGCCACGUGUAGUUCUGGAUCCAACCACGGACGAGACCGACGGAGUUGUUAAGAAAAGGUUGCAUGCUUUGAAGAAUGAUUUUUUCUGGAUAGAGUAGUGUCCUAAGUAGUUUAUAAUUUCAGGUAAAGGUUAUGAAUGGCAAUAGGGCGAAGUUGAACGUUGUGGAUGCCUGAGACAAUACAUUUGGGCAGUUACAGAAGAAAGAGUAAUCAAUUGCUAGUUAUCGAUUACUUCGGGGAUAAUCAAGGGAUGUGAACGUUUUGAACGGAAUCAGAGCGAGAAUUGCUCCUAUUUGUAGAAUGGUUACCUUCCGAGUUACUUGCAAAACUUAAAACACGAUGCACGUGAAUAUAUAUAGUUAUUGCGGAAAUUUAAACAUGAUGCAAAUUCCCUUUGGACUAUGAGAAUUGUCUUUCGGACAAUGAGGAUCAUGUCUUUAGACCAUGACGUCCUGGUCCACAAUGCAUAUGUUGAAGAAUUCGCAGGCUAUGAAAUGAUGUCCUCGAGCCAUGAGGAUGGUGCCUCUAGACUAUAACGCCUUUGAAUAAUGAUAUACAGUUUUGAGAGAUCAUUAGGCCAUGGAAUGGUGUCUUUUGGCUAUGAGGAUGAUGCCUUCGGACUAUGAUGCCUUCAGACAAUGUGGCGAUAUUUUAGCCCAUAAAAUGCAAAGAUGCGGCGUGUUGAUCGUUUGAUAAAGGAAUCAUGUAAUCCUUAGUCAUAUGCGAGAACGAGACAAGGCAGUGCUUAGCCUUGUGUGAGAUGAGGGCAAUACUUAGCCCUAUGCGGAUAAUGAGGGCAGUGCUUAGCCCUAUGAGAAUGAAGGCAAUGCUUAGCUUUAUGAAAUAAUGGAGGUAGUGCUUUGCCUCAUGUAAGUAAUAAGGGAAGUGCUUAGCCCUAUGCAGAGAAAGGAAAUGUUUAGCCAUGUUCAAUGACGGAGGAAGUGCUUAGCCUCAUGCAAGUAAUGAGGGCAGUGCUUAGUCCUAUGCAGAUAAAGGCAGCGUUUAGCCUUGUGCAAUGAUGGAGGCAGUGCUCAGCCUCAUGCGAUGUGAUGAGGGUAGUGCUUAGCCCUAUGUAGAGAAAUGCAGCAUUUAGCCUUAUGCAAUGAUGGAGGCAAUGCUUAGCUUCAUGCAAGUAAUGAGGGAAGUGCUUAGACCUAUACAGAUAAUGAGGGAAGUGCUUAACCCUAUGCGAAUGAAGGCAAUGCUUAGCCUUAUGCAAUGAUGGAGGCAGUGCUUAGCCUCAUGUGAUAUAAUGAGGGCAGUGCUUAGCCCAAUGUAGUUAUGGAGGCAGUGCUUAGUCUCAUGCAAUGAUGGAGGCAGUGCUUAGCCUCAUGCAAUGUAAUGAGGGCAGUGCUUAGCCCUGUGCAGAGAAAGGCAGUGCUUAGCCUUAUACAAUGAUGGAGGCAGUGCUUAGCCUCAUGCAAUGUUAUGAGGGCAGUGCUUAGCCCUAUGUAGAGAAAGGAAAUGAUUAUCCUUAUACAAUGAUGAAGGCAUUGCUUAGCCUCAUGCAAGGUAAUGAGGGCAGUGCUUAUCCCUAUGUAGAGAAGGCAGUGCUAAGCCUUAAGUAAAUGCGAGAAAGGAAAGUAAUUCUUAGCUUGACUCAUUUAGGCUUGACAACAUCCAUCUAUGUGAAGAUAGCGAUCUUUGUUGUACAUUCCUUGUUGAUACAUUUGGUAAUGUUGUAUCUGCUAUGCCUGCAUCCAAAGAAAAAUUGUAAGUCGGGGGAAGGUUGGUUCGUGCUUUCGAUUCCUUAUCUCGUCCUUGCUUAUGUCUUAACGCUUUGUGCUUGAGUCACCCUGGGUAGCAUUUGGCUGUUACAAAAAUGGAUUCUUUAAGAAUAUGCAUUUGCGAUAAAUUACUUGUAAGAGAUGAAGUUGUUUAAGGGAUAAUGCAUAAAAUAAAGGAAAAAUACAUAAGUUACCCCCUAAACUAUGGACCAAAUCCCUAUUACACACUUUUUGCAGGCGAAUAUUAUUUUACACACUUAACCUUUCGGAGUGUGUCUAAUACACACCAUUUUGACCACGUGGCUAGUGCGUGUAUUUUCCAACAAGUGAAGCGCGUGAACCGGAGAGGUUAUAUGUUAAUUUUUUUUUAGUUUUUAAAAAUAAAUAAAUUGGGUCAUCUUCUUCCUUGUUUAAAAAAAUCACAAAUCUGCCAUGGCUGGUCCUAAACACUUAGAGCCACUUCAGUUGACUUCAAUCCUGUUAAUGGGUUAAACCAUUCUCCAUUGAUGCCUAAGUUUGAAAAUAUAUCGGAUCUUAAUUGAGCUCUCUGGGAUGCUUCUUCUGCGGAUUUUAUUUGGAAAUCCAAAUUGCCCCCAAAUUACCAGUAUAUUUUUCCAUAACCCAAAUGGAAAAACCUUAAUUUGUUCAAGAAGGUUUCUCAGAACAACAUUCUUUAGUCAUUUUCAACUUCUGGGUUCUCUUGAUGUUUCAAUCUUCUUGUAAUUCUUAAUGAUUUUGUAUACUUUUUACUGUUAAAAAGGAUUAUUGGGUUAUUGUGAUUGUAGAAGUGGUGUUAUGGUGAUUGUAGAAGUGGAAGCCAUGGUGGUGUUAUGGCAGAGUUAAUGAAGCUUGGUGGUUAUGGAAGAAAAUGAAAGCAGUUGAAUAUGUUACAAUAGAGUUAUUGAUAUAGUGAAGAAGAUAAAAAUUAAGGGUAGGGUGCCUGUUAAUGUUUGGUGACAACCAUUGUUUUGGUGAUUUGCAAAAGAGAAAGAGAUAACGGAGAUGCUAAGAGUAUAAUUAUAAAUUUAGGUAUUUUUUUAAAAAAAACUUAUUAACACAUGUCAUGACCUUAUUGGUUCUUGACAUUACAUAUAUUCUGAAAAACAGAGUAAGAAAAAAGUAGUGUAUGUUAGUUACACUUUGAAAAGUUUGGGUGUGUAAUAUAAUUUUCGUUCUCAGAAAGUGUGUAACGGGGAUUUGGUGUAUAGUUCAGGGGGCUACCUAUGUAUUUUGCCUAAAAUAAAUAAUUUAGUCGAAUCUUAGGCCAUGACAUGCUUUGAGACAUUGCGACAUCCUUAUCUUGGAAUUUUGAGGAUUCCCUCAAAAUUUCACCCCAGUUUUGACAUAUACUUCCAGUGUUACUCUUUCGGCGAUCCUUGACUUAAUGAGAUUGAUGAAACUCAAAAUCUUGCCCUCGUUUCCGACCAUGGAGGGGAAUGAAGAUUUUAUUAUAAUGUGACCGAACCUACAAGGCUGCCUACAUAUCCCCUCUUAAACGGGAAUCAGGUCAAGCAUAGUUUAUGUUACAUCAAAGAAAGUUAAAAUACAAUUCUCAAACAUAAUAUCUCUUGAUGACGUCCAAAUUGAUAGGUUUUGUCCAUAUCUCUCCUUCAAUAUCUGCUAGUAUGAGUGCUCCUCCAAUCAACACUCGAUGAACCAUGUAAGUCCAGGUGAGAAUUUCUCGUUUGCCUCAUCCUGAUGUGAAAAAAUCCGCUUAAGCACCAAUUGCCCCGGUAUGAAUUGCCUCGGUCUAACCUUCUUGUUAAAAGCCCUGGCCAUUCUGUUCUGGUAGAGUUGACCGUGGCACACUGCGUUCAUCCUUUUACCGUCGAUGAGAUUCAAUUAUUCAUACAGACUCUGUGGUUAUUCUGCAUCGCUAAGCUCGACCUCCUGUAUGAUUCUCAAAGAAGGAAUUUCUACCUCGGCGGGUAUAAAGGCUUCAGUACCGUAGACCAGCAAAUAAGGAGUUUCCCCAGUUGAGGUUCGGAUUGUGGUGCGGUACUCGAGCAGAGCAAACAACAGCUUUUCGUGCCACUACUUGUAAUCGUCUACCAUCUUCCUUAGUAUCUUCUUAAUGUUCUUGUUGGUAGCUUCUACAGCUCCGUUCAUUUAUGGCCUAUAUGUUGUAGAGUUCCGGUGUUUGAUCUUGAAUGUUUCACACAUGGCUUUCAUCAGAUCACUGUUACGAUUGGCGAUAUUGUCGAUAAUGAUUGAUUUAGGCACCCCGAACUGGCAGACAAUACGGUCCCGGAUAAAAUCUGCUACGACCUUCUUUGUCACAGCUUUGUAGGACACAACCUCGACCCAUUUUAUGAAGUAAUAAAUGGCCACCAAGAUACAUCUGUACCCGUUGGAGACAUCGGACUCGAUCGGUCCAAUGACAUCCAUGCCCCAGGCAGAGAAAGGCCAGGGCGAACUUGUUACAUUGAGUUCAUUAGGUGGUACUCGUAUCAUAUCAGCAUGCACCCAACACUUGUGACACUUAUGUACAUACUUGAUGCAGUCGGUUUCCAUGGUCAUCCAAAAAUAUCCUGCCCUUAAUAUCUUCUUGGCUAGAACGAACCCAUUCAUGUGAGGUCAGCACGUUCCAACAUGUAUCUCCUCGAGCAACCUUGAUGCUUCCUUGGAAUUAAAGCAUCUUAGCAACCCCAAGUCGAGAGUUCUUCUGUACAUAAUUCCUCCGCUAUAAAAGAAAUGGUUAGCUAACCUCCAAGGCAUGCGCUUCUAAGUGUGUGUAGCAUUUUUUGGGUAUUCUCCUUUCUCCAAAUACUCCCUGAUAUCGUGAAACCAUGGAUUCCCAUCGAACUCUUCUUCGACGUGAGUGCAAUAAGCAUACUGCUUAUGUAUUUCUAUUGGGAUGGGAUCAAUAUAGUUCUUAUUUGGAUGUUGUAUCACGAAAGAUGGUGUGGCUAGUGCAUCCGCAAACUCGUUCUGGAUUCUAGUAACAUGCUUGAACUCUAUCUUUGAGAACCUUUUGAUCAAAUCUUGUACACAAUGUAAGUAUGGCAAUAUCUUGGUAUUCUUGGUGGCCCAUUCUAUGAGCACCUGAUAUAUUAGCAAGUCCGAAUCUCCGAUUACCAGUAAUUCCUGGAUGUUCAUGUCGAUAGCCAAUUUGUGUUUCAGAAUGCAAGCCUCGUAUUCUUCCAUAUUGUUGGUGCUUGGGAACUUGAGUUUGGCGGAUAUCGAAAAAUAUUGACCGGUUUCUAAUACUAGGACAACUCCAAUGCCUACUCCCUUGAAGUUUGCGGUUCCAUCGAAGAACAUUCUCCAACCAUCAUAUGCUUCGGCGAUUUCUUCUCCUAUGAAAGACACUUCUUCGUCGUGAAAAUACAUUUCUAUGCCAGGUGAUCGGCCAAUGCUUGCCCGUUGACUGCCUUCUGAUUCACAUAGACGAUGUCGAACUCGCUUAGUAAUAUCUUCCACUUUGCUAGCUUACCCGUAGGCAUAGGCUUCUGGAAAAUGUACUUUACAGGAUCCAUUCUUGAUAUGAGGUAUGUGGUAUAUGCACAUAAAUAAUGCCUCAACCUUUGAGCUAUCCAUGUUAGAGCGCAACAUGUACAUUCCAAUAGUGAAUAUCGAGCUUCGUAAGGUGUGAACUUCUUACUUAGAUAAAAUAUAUCCCGAUCACUCCCUCAAGAAUAGAAGGCAAUAACAGAGCGAAUCUGUCAGAGAGUACUCCACAAUGUGUAACCAGUGCAACCAUAUGUCACCCCGCGGGCUUUAUCGUACCCUGCCUGCUCGUCCCGACCUAUUUGUAACCAGCUACAACCUUGCUUGCUCCUUACUUCCGGUCUCAUCAUGUUGACCUAAGACGCAUCCAAACACUCCAUCCAACACGGAUUGAUACAGAAGUAAAGGUCUCUCGGGCUCUGGUGGGACCAACACAGGAGGUUUGGACAGGUACUCUUUGAUUUUAUCAAAAGCCCUUUGACACUCCUCGGUCCAACUCGUUGCAACAUCCUUUUUCACCAUCUUGAAGAUUGGUUCACAUAUUAAUGUUGACUGUGCUAUGAAACUACUAAUAUAGUUAAGACGACCCAAGAAACUCAUUACGUCCUUUUGCUCUUUGGUGGUGGCAGAUCCUAGAUGACUUUGAUAUUUGAUGGGUCUCAAUCAAUGUGGCGGCGACUGACGAUGAAACCUAGCAACUUCCCGGCAGGGACUCCAAAAGCACAUUUUUUAUGAUUCAACUUCAAAUCGUAUUUUUGUAUUCAGCGAAAAACUUUCUUAGGUCUAUUAUGUGAUCCGAGCCCUUCACAUCAUCUUGUAGCAAUAUAUUCCCCAUAGCGUAAUAAAGGCUAUCUUUUCUGCAUCCUCUUUGUCUAUCAAAAUCUGGUGGUACCCUGCGAAGCAAUCAACAAAUGAUUGGAGUUCAUGCUUGGCACAGUUAUCGAUCAAUAUAUGUAUGUUGGGCAGCGGGAAAUCAUAUUUUGGACUCGCUCUAUUCAUAUCUCAAUAGUUAAUUCACACCCUGACUCUCCCGUCUUUCUUCAGUACCGGCACAAUAUUGGCUAACCAGGUCAGAUACUCGACCACUCGAAGGACUUUGGCUUUGAUUUGCUUGGUACCCUCCUCUUUUAUCUUCAAACCCAUGUCUGGCUUGAACUUUCUGAGCUUUUAUUUUACCAGGGGACACAUAGGGUUGGUAGGUAGCUUAUAGGCUACUAUGGAUGUGCUCAACCCUGUCAUGUCAUCAUAGGACCAUGAAAAAUUGUCCUCAUAUUCCUUCAGAAAUUUGAUAUACUCUUCCUUGUCUGACGGUGAUAGUUGAAUGCUAAUGCCAGUUUCUUUGGCUGUUUCGGAAUCCCCUAAAUUAACGGUCUUAGUUUUUUCUAGAUUGGACUUUGGUUUGUUCUCAAAAUCCUCCACUUCCCUAAAUAUUUCCUUGGGUAUUACAUCAUUUCCCCAUUCUUCUUAAUCUUUUCCGUCGUGUUUUGUUGUCUCAUUACAUGUCAUAGUUGUAGAUUCAACAAGAUAGGUAAUAAUUAUGCUGAAAAGAAUGUAGAAAGAUAAUAAUAUAAAUAAACAAAAAGCAGUGAUGCAUUAAUUAAAACUUAAAACUGUCAGACAAAUAUGACUCGAUGUCUCGAGUAUUUAUUUCAAAACCAAAUACUGAAAUAUCUUAAAUUCCAGAAAAUAAAUUUUAAAAGGAAAUCAUGCUAGUUCUGCCAAAGCUACCCAAGUGCUUGGCUAGCCCGGGAUGGUGCAGCGGUCCAGUUCCUGAGAACAACUCUAUCUCCCACAGUCUGGACAUUAAUGUCUCUCUCUUCCUCCUCUAAGAUUGCACUGUAGUCCAUAUCUUCCUCGUUCAAAAACAGGCUCCUCAUGCCAGCCAAGAUCUCAUCUUCUUUAGAACCCAAAAUCACGUCGACCUUAUGAAAUGUUUGGUGUAGCGGUGGUGUGGGUUGAGGCAAUGGGUAAGGAAAAUCCUGCCAUGGUGGUGACCAAUAAUUAUAUUCUUGCACAGUGUAUUCGUACCCGAGACCAAAGGUCAUGCCCUGAGUGCGUGGUUGUAUUGGUUCUGUUAUCCCUUGAAGUUUAGGACCAAGACCUUUGCCUGGUUCAUACCCUAACCACAACAGCAUGCUUAGUACCUUGUUGCUCCACCAUCGUACUUUCUCGACCAUAUUUACCUGCUCGAUAUUGUAAAACGUUUAUCCACCUAAUUUCCUUAUGUUCUCAACUACCGGUACGGUCUGGUUGGUUUAGAUAGGAUUGCUUCCAUCCCCAUGGAUAAUUACCUCCUGAUGAUUCCACUCGAACUUCACGGCUUGAUGCAAAGUAGAAGCAACUGCCCCAGCCAUGUGUAUCCAUGGUCAUCCCAACAACAGAUUAUAGGUGGUGGAGAUGUCCAACACCUGGAACUCGACAUUGAACAUGGUCGGGACUAUCUUCAAAUCUAGUUUAAUUUCUCCAAUAGUAGCUCUUUGGGACCCAUCGAACGCUUUCAUGAUCAUGCUUCCCAUCCGUAUCUCCGGUAUACCUAUGCCCAUUCUUUUCAGAGUAGUCAAAGGGCAUAUGUUCAGACUUGAACCCCCAUCAAUCAAAAUUCGAGUAGUGAACGUAUCUUCAUAUUGCACAGUGAUGUGUAAUGCUUUGUUAUGACUCAAACCUUUCGGUGGAAACUCAGCUUCAUGGAAGGUGAUCUUGUGUGUCUCCACACUUGUCCCACCAUAUUUUCCAUCUCUCCACUAGUGAUACCAACAGGUAUGUAGGCUUCGCUUAACACCUUCAUCAAGGCGUUCUUGUGUGCGUCCAAGUUUUGUAACAAUGAUAAGAUGGAUAUUUGAGCGGGAGUUUUACUUUGGUGAUCAACAAUAGAAUACUACCUUGCCUGUACCUUCCUCCAAAGGUCAUCAGUACCUGUCUCCACAACAUGUGGUUUUGAUGCGGUCUCCUUACUUGUUCCCCUAAGAUUUUCCAGUGUGUAGACCCUGCGUGUUCUAGUCAUUCCCUAGGUGGCACCCGUUUCUUCCAUCUUGGCUUUUCCUUUCCUUCUUGCCUCUGCCACAGAAUCCCAAGGAACAAUGUUAGGUUUGUAGGAUGGUGAUGGAGCUACCAUCACAGCGAAUGAUGUCCUGGAUGUAGCUACUUCAACCUCGAAUGGCACCUUGGUUUGCACCACUAUCAGCGAGAGUGUGACAUGGGAUGUCAUAGAAGUGUCUCCUUCUCGAAUAAGACUGAUGGAUCCUUUCUGGUCCCAUUGCUCAUCAGUCUCGAUCACGUUUGCUCCCUCACCCCUGUGAUCAGGAAGGGGGUUAUUGCGGACGUUCGGUACAGAUUCUUUUGCCUGUAUGACCUUGGUCUCAAUCAAUAUCUGUCACACCCCUUUUUGACCCCAAAAGAUAUGUGUUAUAGAUUAUUGUGGGUUAAUGAGUUUUUUCAAUUAAAGUGACAAACUUGAGUAGGGAUUAUUUUAUUUAUAGAGUCGCCACUUGGAAUUGAUUUUUGGGUGUUCCAAGUCACCUUUUAUUUUAAUCCCCAGUCAAAGGAAGGUUUGACUCCAUUAUUAUUGGUCUGUAAAAAUAAAGUCUGGGUAAGGAAUUCUGUUGACCAGAGAGAAGGUGUAAGGCAAUCCUCGAGUCCCGUGGUUCUAGCACGGUCACUUUAUUGACUAAAAAUGGCUUGAAUUAAUUUUGGACAAAAUGUGUUUUAUUGGAUUUUCGUGUUUUACCUAUCCUCUUUUAAUUAUUAAAUUAUGGAAUUAUCUUUGAAACAAAUCACGUGUGUGAAUCCGUUUUGUUUAUUGCGCCAAAAUCAUGUUACGUGUAUGUGUACAAAAUUAAUAGCAUUUUAUUAAUAUUAAGAUUGUUUUACCCAAAGUUGCACGAACGCAUACUUCGGUUUUAAUUUUGAAAAUCACAAUUAUGUCACACGAACGUAUACAUAGUCACGAUAGAUUAAUUAAAAAUGCGCCUAAAUCACUCUAAAAGUGUUCAUUAUUCUUCUUAAACUUUGAGAUUAUUGUAAGGUCAUGAAUUAUGAAAUUACUUGUGGAAGAAGUGAUGUACUCUAAUUUUAUGAGUUAAACUAACAAUUUUAAAAAUCGAUUGAUCGAAAUUGUAACUCAAAAUUAUACCUAGCUUUACUAACGAUUAGUUGGUUGGCCCCAAAACCUUUACAAUUCACUGCCUAAAGAAGUAGUGAAUACAUUAAUUCCACAUUAUCUAAUAAUAAAGGCCCACUCAUCAUUCUUUCAAUUAGGCCCAAAUUCCAUUUUUAUCCCAAUUAGUAGAUAUAGGCCAUUUUACUCUGUAACAAAUUUCGAAUUGCUCUGUCUAACAAAAUGAAAUAGCAUAUUCCAACCCUUACAUAUGAUUUUAAUUUCACAAAAACUAAAAAAAAUAUCUAAACCAAAAUGCUUAACAAUCAAACAACCGAUAAUGUAAAUGCAACCAACAACAAAUCCUAAAAAAACAACUAGACCAGAAUAUUGCAAUAAAGUUCAUACCAAACAAAGCCAACAAAGAAUAUAUAAUUUAAAGAGAUAUGAAUGGAUCAUGGCAAUAAGAAUUACUGAAACAAAAAAAAAGAGAAAGAAAAUGGACCUUUGUAUUAAAUCUGAACUUUUGAGUUUUGCCGCAGGGAAAUCCCAAAGCAAAUAAGACCCAGAUAGGACCUCGAUGAACCCAGACCUCGGCGGAUGAAACUCGAUUGGACCUCGGUUAAAACUCAGCCGUUGGAGCUAUUUUGGGGCUGCUGUUUUGUGCGAAAAGCUGCUGUUUCGCUAAGUAUCGGGGGGCUAUUUUUGAUCUGUUUUGGCAGCAGCGGUACAACUGUUUUGGGGUUAUUUUUGACCUGAAUUUUAAUGGUACUCACUACUGGUUUUUGGGUGAAGAAGAGGGAGUUUUCAUCUGCUUUUUUCAAUGAUUUGUGGGGCAUAUUUGGAGCUAUUUUUCACUGGUUUAAAGGUGUUUUGGAGCUGAAUUUCAUGGCUGGUUUGGGAAGGAGAGUUGCUGUAUUUUUGCAGCAGCUUUGGAUCUGAAUAUUGGUGUUAAUGGAGGUGGUUUUUGCAGCAACACAGGGUGGCGUUUUGGGGUGUUUCAGGUGGAAAUUAGGGCUGGACAAUAAUGAAACCUUGGAGCUAUGAAUCCAUUGAGUUUUCAGGUGGUUGAAGGUGAUCUUACAUGGCUCGAAAUGGAAGAAAAAAGGUGGAAUUUGCAGUGGCUGACUUUCUUCCUUAGAGGAGAAUUUGCGGCGCUCAAAAGCUUAGAAUGAAAAGAUGGUUGCUAGGUUCUUUUUUGUUUUUCC